GACGAACCGUGCAAACGUUGUUCGGAAUCACUGGGCUUAAAGGGCGCGUAGGCGGGCAAGCAAGUCGAAGGUGAAAUCCCACGGCUCAACCGUGGAAGUGCCCCGAUACUGCUUGUCUUGAGGGAGAUAGGGGCGUGCGGAACUUCCGGUGGAGCGGUGAAAUGCGUAGAUAUCGGAAGGAACACCGGUGGCGAAAGCGGCGACGCUGGAUCUCUUCUGACGCUGAGGCGCGAAAGCCAGGGGAGCAAAGCGGG
rnacentral:rRNA from 1 species